GUAUUUGCAUCGUUUUACUUGGUCCCACCUCAGUGAACACCUUGCCUUUGAGCGCCAGGUACGAAGGCAACGCCUGAGAGCAGAGGUUGCCCAAGCGAAACGAGAGACUGACUUCUAUCUUCGAAACGUAGAACAGGGACAACGCUUUCUUGCAGCUGAUGGGGAUGCUACUCGACCAAAUAGCUCCUGGACAUUUACUCAACGUCCCACUGAGCAGGAGCUGAGGGCCCAGAAAGGAGCACGGCCAGGAGGGCGGGAACGAGCUCGGCUGGCCACAGUCCAGGACCAGGCC
rnacentral:lncRNA from 1 species